rnacentral:rRNA from 1 species
AGGUCAAGCUACAAAGGGCGCAUGGUGAAUGCCUUGGCAUCAGGAGCCGAUGAAGGACGCGAUAAGCUGCGAUAAGCUUCGGGUAGACGCACAUAGUCAGAGAUCCGAAGAUUUCCGAAUGAGGAAACUCACAUGGGAAACCCCAUGUAUCGUAAAGUGAAUACAUAGCUUUAUGAAGGUAAACCCAGGGAACUGAAACAUCUAAGUACCUGGAGGAAGAGAAAGAAAAAUCGAUUUUCUUAGUAGCGGCGAGCGAAAGGGAAAGAGCCCAAACCAAAGAUUUAUCUUUGGGGUUGCGGACAGAACAUUAACGAGAAAUUAUGGUUAACCGAACACAACUGGAAAGUUGGACCGUAGGGGGUAAUAGUCCUGUAGGUGAAAAUUAUAAUUAUCAAGUUCUGAUCCAGAGUACCACGAGACACGUGAAACCUUGUGGGAAGCAGGGAGGACCACCUCCCAAGGCUAAAUACUACCUGAUGACCGAUAGUGAAGCAGUACCGUGAGGGAAAGGUGAAAAGAACCCCGGGAGGGGAGUGAAAUAGAACCUGAAACCAUGUGCCUACAACCGAUCAAAGCACCUUAUGUGUGUGAUGAUGUGCUUUUUGUAGAACGAGCCAACGAGUUACGGUAUGUAGCAAGGUUAAGUACUUAAGGUACGGAGCCGAAGGGAAACCGAGUCUUAAUAGGGCGACUAGUUGCAUGCUGUAGACCCGAAACCGGGUGACCUAUCCAUGGCCAGGUUGAAGCGAGGGUAAAACCUCGUGGAGGACCGAACCACGUUGCUGUUGAAAAAGCAUGGGAUGAGCUGUGGAUAGCGGAGAAAUUCCAAUCGAACUCGGAUAUAGCUGGUUCUCCUCGAAAUAGCUUUAGGGCUAGCGUCGGAAAAUGUGAGUACUGGGGGUAGAGCACUGAAUGGGCUAGGGGGCAUAGCGCUUACCGAACCUUAUCAAACUCCGAAUACCAGAUACUAUCAGUCCGGCAGUCAGACUGCGAAAGAUAAGUUCCGUAGUCAAAAGGGAAACAGCCCAGAUCGUCAGCUAAGGUCCCAAAGUGUAAGUUAAGUGGAAAAGGAUGUGGGAUUUCUAAGACAACUAGGAUGUUGGCUUAGAAGCAGCCACUCAUUAAAAGAGUGCGUAAUAGCUCACUAGUCAAGAGAUCCUGCGCCGAAAAUGUCCGGGGCUCAAACUUACCACCGAAGCUACGGGUUCACAC